AUUGAACGCUGGCGGCAUGCCUUACACAUGCAAGUCGAACGGUAACAGGUCUUCGGAUGCUGACGAGUGGCUAACGGGUGAGUAAUACAUCGGAACGUGCCUAGUAGUGGGGGAUAACUACUCGAAAGAGUGGCUAAUACCGCAUGAGAUCUACGGAUGAAAGCAGGGGAUCGCAAGACCUUGUGCUACUAGAGCGGCCGAUGGCAGAUUAGGGAGUUGGUGGGAUAAAAGCUUACCAAGCCGACGAUCUGUAGCUGGUCUGAGAGGACGAUCAGCCACACUGGGACUGGGACACGGCCCAGACUCCUACGGGAGGCAGCAGUGGGGAAUUUUGGACAAUGGGCGCAAGCCUGAUCCAGCAAUGCCGCGUGCAGGAUGAAGGCCUUCGGGUUGUAAACUGCUUUUGUACGGAACGAAAAGCCCUGGGUUAAUACCCUGGGGUCAUGACGGUACCGUAAGAAUAAGCACCGGCUAACUACGUGCCAGCAGCCGCGGUAACAC
rnacentral:rRNA from 1 species